rnacentral:rRNA from 1 species
GUGGUAAUGCCGGAUGUUCCAGUUGAUCGCAUGGUCUUCUGGGAAAGCUUUCGCGGUAUGGGAUGGGGUCGCGUCCUAUCAGCUUGACGGCGGGGUAACGGCCCACCGUGGCUUCGACGGGUAGCCGGCCUGAGAGGGCGACCGGCCACAUUGGGACUGAGAUACGGCCCAGACUCCUACGGGAGGCAGCAGUGGGGAAUAUUGCACAAUGGGCGCAAGCCUGAUGCAGCGACGCCGCGUGAGGGAUGGAGGCCUUCGGGUUGUAAACCUCUUUUAUCGGGGAGCAAGCGAGAGUGAGUUUACCCGUUGAAUAAGCACCGGCUAACUACGUGCCAGCAGCCGCGGUAAUACGUAGGGUGCAAGCGUUAUCCGGAAUUAUUGGGCGUAAAGGGCUCGUAGGCGGUUCGUCGCGUCCGGUGUGAAAGUCCAUCGCUUAACGGUGGAUCCGCGCCGGGUACGGGCGGGCUUGAGUGCGGUAGGGGAGACUGGAAUUCCCGGUGUAACGGUGGAAUGUGUAGAUAU